AUUGAACGCUGGCGGCAUGCUUUACACAUGCAAGUCGAACGGCAGCGCGGGCUUCGGCCUGGCGGCGAGUGGCGAACGGGUGAGUAAUGCAUCGGAACGUGCCCAGUAGUGGGGGAUAGCCCGGCGAAAGCCGGAUUAAUACCGCAUACGACCUGAGGGUGAAGGCGGGGGACCGAAAGGCCUCGCGCUAUUGGAGCGGCCGAUGUCGGAUUAGCUAGUUGGUGGGGUAAAGGCUUACCAAGGCGACGAUCCGUAGCUGGUCUGAGAGGACGACCAGCCACACUGGGACUGAGACACGGCCCAGACUCCUACGGGAGGCAGCAGUGGGGAAUUUUGGACAAUGGGGGCAACCCUGAUCCAGCCAUGCCGCGUGCGGGAAGAAGGCCUUCGGGUUGUAAACCGCUUUUGUUCGGGAAGAAAUCCUCUGGGCUAAUACCCCGGGGGGAUGACGGUACCGGAAGAAUAAGCACCGGCUAACUACGUG
rnacentral:rRNA from 1 species